ensembl:snRNA U6 U6 spliceosomal RNA
UUUGAUCCCCAGUACCAAAAAAAAUAAAAUAAAAUAAAAACUGGAACGAUAUAGAGGAGAUUAGCAUGGCCCCUGCACAAGGAUGACAUGCAAAUUCGUGAACCAUUCCAUAUUUUU